rnacentral:tRNA from 1 species
GGCCGCGGUGGCAGGGUGGCGGCUGUACCGCGGCCGCCGGCCGCGGGCGGUGCUGUUCGGGCUGGCCGGGGUCG